GCCCCGGUGGUGCAGUGGUCACAGCGCCCUCGGAAUGGGUGAAAUGCGGGUUCAACUCCCGUCUGAGGUC